AGAGUUUGAUCAUGGCUCAGGACGAACGCUGGCGGCGUGCUUAACACAUGCAAGUCGAACGGAAAGGCCCUUCGGGGUACUCGAGUGGCGAACGGGUGAGUAACACGUGGGUGAUCUGCCCUGCACUUUGGGAUAAGCCUGGGAAACUGGGUCUAAUACCGAAUAUGACCAUGCACUUCCUGGUGUGUGGUGGAAAGCUUUUGCGGUGUGGGAUGGGCCCGCGGCCUAUCAGCUUGUUGGUGGGGUAAUGGCCUACCAAGGCGACGACGGGUAGCCGGCCUGAGAGGGUGACCGGCCACACUGGGACUGAGAUACGGCCCAGACUCCUACGGGAGGCAGCAGUGGGGAAUAUUGCACAAUGGGCGCAAGCCUGAUGCAGCGACGCCGCGUGAGGGAUGACGGCCUUCGGGUUGUAAACCUCUUUCAGCACAGACGAAGCGCAAGUGACGGUAUGUGCAGAAGAAGGACCGGCCAACUACGUGCCAGCAGCCGCGGUAAUACGUAGGGUCCGAGCGUUGUCCGGAAUUACUGGGCGUAAAGAGCUCGUAGGUGGUUUGUCGCGUUGUUCGUGAAAACUCACAGCUUAACUGUGGGCGUGCGGGCGAUACGGGCAGACUUGAGUACUGCAGGGGAGACUGGAAUUCCUGGUGUAGCGGUGGAAUGCGCAGAUAUCAGGAGGAACACCGGUGGCGAAGGCGGGUCUCUGGGCAGUAACUGACGCUGAGGAGCGAAAGCGUGGGGAUCAAACAGGAUUAGAUACCCUGGUAGUCC
rnacentral:rRNA from 1 species